rnacentral:rRNA from 1 species
UGGGGAAUAUUGGACAAUGGGGGCAACCCUGAUCCAGCAAUACCGCGUGUGUGAAGAAGGCCUGAGGGUUGUAAAGCACUUUCAGCGAGGAGGAAGGGUAUAUGGUUAAUACCCAUAUAUUUUGACGUUACUCGAAGAAGAAGCACCGGCUAACUCUGUGCCAGCAGCCGCGGUAAUACAGAGGGUGCAAGCGUUAAUCGGAAUUACUGGGCGUAAAGCGUGCGUAGGCGGAUGCUUAAGUCAGAUGUGA